GCACGUUCAGAAGAGCUUUGCCAGGGCUGGGACUUUGCAGUCAGGCAGCAGCAGUCCCAGGCAGGAGCAUCAGAAGAGCCUCUGAAUGCACUCUCUUCAGUACUUGGGCUUACAGAUUCAAGAGCUGCCACACACGGAUGAGUGGUUCCUCUGUAAGUUACAAGGAAGAUGGGUUCCUCUACGUGCUUCAAGAGGUUUCUAAGCCAAGAAAGACCAUUUGUGCUCUGCAAAGCAUCAGGAUAGGGAGGGGUGCUGUGAAGCUGGAUCACCCCUCUGUCCCACCACCUGAACCCUGCCUGUGUCCUGGCUGAACAGGGGUGCUGGAUUGUGCCACCUGAGGCUGACCGAGGUGCCUGGUGAGGCCUGGUGACAGCAGGAACCCUUCCCUGGACCCUCAGCAGACUCUGCAGAGAUGAGGGCACACUGUGUGUCCUGCUGGGCUGUGCCAGGGAGCCAGCCUGAAAUAGACAACGGAAGGUGGAUCUGUGCAUCAG